rnacentral:tRNA from 1 species
UCCCUGGAGGACUAGUGGUUAGGCCUCGGCACGCUCACUGCCACGGCCUGGGAUCGAUUCCUGGCCAGGGAA